UCCCUGGCCGUGGGCUGAGCAGAUUGCAGGGCCGGCUCUGCUUCUGGCAGCCAGCAGCUCUUUCCUGCUCCAGGUGAACGGUUCAGGUGCCAUCCCGUGGGCACGGCGGUGCUGAUUCUGCUGCUCCUGGUGCUGGUGCUGGCUUUGGGGGCGGCCGUGGCUGUGCUGGCAGCACCACAGGUUCCAGUCACACCUGCCACUCCGCUGUUGGUUCUGGGCUGUCCCCAUGACUGGAUUGGCUACAAUGGGGUCUGCUACUACUUCUCACGGGAUUUCAGCACGUGGGAGCAGGGUCAGGAACGGUGCUCCGGGCUCAAUGCCUCCCUGGCCAUUGCCCAGGAUGAGGAGGCCAUGGAUUUGCUCUCCCGCCUCUGUGGGAAUUUCGGUUACUGGCUCGGGCUGCGCAGACGGGGCGAGCGCCUGCACUGGGGGGACGGCAGCAGCUACAGCUCCCGGUGAGUGCCGGGGAGCCGGGCAGGGCCUGGGGGCACAGGGGCACAAGGGCUUCCCCUGGCAGCCAGCGCUGCCUCUGCUCCUCCCUGCAGGGUUCCUGUCCUCGGCAGUUCCCAGUGUGUGUACCUGGCUGAUGAUAAAUUCAGGAGCGGGAACUGCUCCAGUGAGUGGCCGUAUGUCUGCAGCAAGGCCCAAGCUCCCCUGUAACAGGGGCUGCACAAAGGACCUUCUCCACGCUGGGCAGUGCCAGCUUCACCUCUGAGCCCAGCACAGCGUUCUCCUUCCUCAGCUGCGCCCUGUGCCUUGCACUUCCUCUCAGGGUCACCUCAGUGCCUCUUCAUCCCCAGUGCCAGCGCUGGGCUGGGGCUGCAAAGGAAAAGUCUCUGCAAUCCAUCCUGCCACUGAUGCUGCCUGCAGUGACUGCAUUGCCCUCAUGACACAACAA